rnacentral:misc_RNA from 1 species
UACGUAGGGUGCAAGCGUUAAUCGGAAUUACUGGGCGUAAAGCGUGCGCAGGUGGUUACGCAAGUCUGAUGUGAAAUCCCCGGGCUCAACCUGGGAACUGCAUUAGUGACUGCAUAGCUGGAGUACGGCAGAGGGGGAUGGAAUUCCGCGUGUAGCAGUGAAAUGCGUAGAUAUGCGGAGGAACACCGAUGGCGAAGGCAAUCCCCUGGGCCUGUACUGACGCUCAUGCACGAAAGCGUGGGGAGCAAACAGG